UUUUUUUUUUUUUUUUACUGGCACUCAUCUCCAUUAACUUCUUUGUGUGAUUGUGAGAACUAUAUCCUGUCCUAUUGCCUGUUAUUGUUAACCAGCCAGAUCUUAUAUUGGUGAUAAACCACCAACAAUUUGUAUAUCUUAAUUUGCUGCAUUAGCAAUACAUAAGAAAAAAAACAAAACCCUAAGAAGGUAUUACUAAUGUAUUUGUUCAUGUUGUGAAUGAAAUAUUGUGCCACUUGAAGUUUCCAUCAUAAAACAAAAGAUACUGAGAAAACUAGACAAGGAAUCAUCAAUAAAAAGCACACAAUAAUUAACUCUUGUAAAUUGUUGCCUCAUUAUAUGAUUCUUAUUUUUUUUCCUCUUAGGUUUACAUUACUACAAUUCAGCU